CUCCACAUUUCCUUCAGGACACAGGCUGCACAGCAGUUGCCUCUGGCAACUCAGGACCUCACAGCCAGCCCUCUGAACCUAUAGUCCAAGGAGCUCUUCCACCCACGGCUGGGCUGGCGGAGGAACAGCUGAAGUGGAAGCUCCCAGAGCAUGAGUCAGCCACUUGUAAUCACUCACUAACCAGAAGCACACAGCACACAAAGAAAGGAGGUCAUCCCCAAAGGAAACUGCAGAGCAUCGGGAAGGAAACUCCUGCUGGCCUUCACACCCAGCAUCCUCUCCAGGAGGCCUUCUCCACAGAAGCAGCUGCAGGGCUCCCUGCCAGAGGAGCUUAGGGAAAACAGCUGGCUGGAAGAAAGACCAGAAGCCCUGAUCUUUAAAAUGCAUUUACAAAGCCUAAACAAUAGUGUAACUUUUACCUACAUAAAGAUUGCCAGGGGAACAUAGGCUAUGUUGUUCAUGAAUUUUGUCACACAGUUUUAAUAUAACUUCAAAAAUUUUAAAGUCGCAACAAAUUCAAAUAAAAUCUGUAAUUUAGGUCAUAGCA